CUGUAUGAAUGGCUAAACGAGGGCUCCACUGUCUCAAUAAUAAACCUAGUGAAAUUGAAACGGUGGCGAAGCUGCCACCUAUGAAUUCUAAGACGAGAAGACCCCAUUGAGCUUUACUAUUAACUUGUAUUGCCAGAGCGCGAGCAAAUAAGCAAAAAGAUUAGAAGGGGAUCCGAAGGAUCCCCUUGCUUCAUAAUAAAAUUGUGUAGACUAAGUGGGAAAAAGAUAAAACAAGGGAUUUAAAAGAAUCCCGGGGCGCGGGAAGGGGGUGCCAAUGGCGUGGUUUUCCCCCCCCGCCCCGGGUCCCGAUUUAUAUGAAAAACCACUCUUUUUAUUAAGAUUACUGUCUACAACCGUACAAGUAAGAUAGUUUGGUUGGGGCGACCGCCUUCGAAAAAGUAUCGAAGGCGCACAUAAGAUUAGUCCGGAGGGGGGUCCGAAGGCCCUCCCGGGGGUAAUGCCCCAAAGAAAAGAUUAGUUUGACUGAGAGGGCUACAACCCGAACAGGCGCUAUUAAAAAGGGAUAAAAAGUCUUUUUGCGGGUCAUAGUGAUCCGUUGUUAUAUUGUGGGAUUGACAACGAUCAACGAAGAAAAGUUACCAUGG
rnacentral:rRNA from 1 species